UUGAUCCGAGGAAGGAAAUGCUGGAAACGGAAAGUUGAAAACAAUGCUCCAUGGAAAACGGUGACGAUUGGGUAGCUGUAGACAAAGUGUACCACAUCCUCUUCUGCUUCGUCCUCACUCUCAUCUUCUCAGCCCUCGCCAACAGAACUCGUUACCCCUUUCUCCGUCGAUACUCCGUCUGGGUCGCCUCCAUCCUCUCUCUCGCCGCCGGCGCCGCCAAGGAAGUCGCUGACGAAAUCGGCUUCUUCAAGUCUGCCGGCGCCUCCUCUAAAGACGCUCUCGCCGAUCUCCUCGGCGUUCUAAUCGCUUGCCUCGCUCUUUCUCUGCGGAAAUCCUCACGUCGCCCCGAUCCCAUGGAUCAAGUUCGAGGAGUCUCGCUAGUCUGAGUCCAACCGAGCCUUUUCAGAGAAGAAACCAUGGAUGGACAAGCUACAAGUGUUACAGAAACUGGCAUCUACACAAGGAUAAUCGGCUAGGAUUUUCAAAGCCAUUUCGGAUCCACCUACAACCAGCUUGCAACGUUUGAAGGUAAUAUUUUCUUUGAUGAUGGUUGUUGGACCUUGGUAUGAUGUCUCAUCUCCCACUUUAAACAAAUUACAAUGGUCAAUUAGUCUUUGAAAAUUUAUUUUGACAAUUUUGUUCUUUGUUUUGUAGUUCUGAUUUUAAUAUAUAAAAUUUAAAAUUUAAUAUUGUCAGGUUUGCUAUUUCUUCUUUGUUGGUCUCAUUAACACAAAGAUCAGUAUGUUUUGAGAAUCAAAUUGAUCUGUAGAUAGUCAGCAAUUUCCAAUCCCCGUGUUCCCUGCAACUUUAAUUGAUGACUUAAUUUGUUAGAGCAGGAAAUUGAUGAGCUAUCCUCAUUAUUGCUCAUAUCAUACCUUGUUUACAUCUCUCAUUUUCUGAUUAGAGGGUUUGGACAUCUUCCCUGGUCUAUUUUCUUCUCAAUCUUUGUUUUCUGCUGUUGCAAAUAUUGAUUCUCCAGUGCCUUUUCAGGGGGCAAUUUCAUUUAGAAUUCUGAAGUUCAUCAGAAGUUAGAGCUUUUCCUUGUGUAGACACUAUGAAAGGGUUAAUACCAUUGAAUGGUUGUAGGCUAGAGGCCUUCCAUUACCUAUAAUCCUGAGGGUUGUGUUCUCAGCUUAGACAACAGUGACACAGCAGACCACUUCUUUGUACUAUGCCUUUGUGGUUUAUGAAAUAUGUUGCUCAAGGAGGCAGGCUUGCCUUGGGCCUUCCCCU